AUUGAACGCUGGCGGCGGGCCUAACACAUGCAAGUCGAGCGAGAAAAGGGCUUCGGCCCUGGGUAAAGCGGCGGACGGGUGAGUAACACGUAGGUAAUCUUCCCUUGAGCGGGGGACAACGAGCCGAAAGGCUCGCUAAUACCGCAUACGUUCCCAGCGGCUCCGGUCGCUGGGAGGAAAGCUAGGCCGCAAGGUCCGGCACUCGAGGAGGAGCCUGCGUCGCAUCAGCUAGUUGGUGGGGUAACGGCCUACCAAGGCGAAGACGCGUAGCUGGUCUGAGAGGAUGAUCAGCCACACUGGGACUGAGACACGGCCCAGACUCCUACGGGAGGCAGCAGUGGGGAAUAUUGGACAAUGGGCGCAAGCCUGAUCCAGCCACGCCGCGUGAGUGAUGAAGGCCUUCGGGUCGUAAAGCUCUGUGGGGAGGGACGAACCGCCGAACGUUCAUAGCGUUCGGCAUGACGGUACCUCCUUAGCAAGCACCGGCUAACUUCGUGCCAGCAGCCGCGGUAAAAC
rnacentral:rRNA from 1 species